AUCUUCUUAGUAUAAAAUAUAUUUGACUUCCAAUCAAAAGUUCCCACUGGGAGGAGAUA
rnacentral:tRNA from 1 species